rnacentral:snRNA from 1 species
AUCCUUAUGCACGGGAAAUACGCAUAUCAGUGAGGAUUCGUCCGAGAUUGUGUUAUUGCUGGUUGAAAUUUUUAACCUGACCGCUCCUCAUAGUUUAAUGUGUCUUUUUUACACUAUAUGGCUAUGCAGGGAAUUUUUGGAAUUAUCCUCUGAUG